AUUCCGGCGCGCUCGUCCCGGGGGGGCCGGCGCCUUGGCUGCCCGCGCUCACGUAUCUCCAGUUAAUAGUAUAAUGAAAAGAAAAGAAGACUUCUGGAUACAUGUUACUUGGAUUCUGAACUUAAGCCUUUGAUACCACAGGCUUUCAACAUUACAGUCUUUGGGAUCACUCAAUACGUUUCAAAGCCCCUCCAGGGAAUGCACCAUGACAUCAGCAGUGGUUGACAGUGGAGGCUCUGGCCUGGAGUUUGACAACAAUGGAGUAAAAAACCAGGAGGAAAAUGACCCAGUCUCUGAAUUCCCAGCAGUGAUUGUGGAACCAGUUCCUAGUGCCAGACUAGAACAGGGUUAUGCUGCUCAGGUCCUGGUUUAUGAUGACGAGACUUACCUGAUGCAAGAUGUAGCAGAGGAGCAAGAAAUUGAAACCGAAACUGUGGAAACAGUGGAAGCAUCUGUACAUGGAAGCAAUGUGCAUUGCACAGAUAAGACAAUUGAAGCUGCAGAGGCCUUGCUUCAUAUGGAGUCUCCUACCUGCUUGAGAGAUGCUAAGAGUCCUGUGGAAGUUUUUGUCCCUCCUUGUAUGUCAACCCCAGAGUUUAUCCAUGCUGCUAUGAGGCCAGAUGUGAUUACAGAGACUGUGGUGGAAGUAUCAACUGAGGACUCUGAACCAAUGGACACAUCUCCUGUGCCAACAUCCCCUGAUAUCCAUGAGCCAAUGAAAAAGAAAAAAGCUGGCCGAAAACCAAAGACCCAACAGUCGGCCAUUUCCAAUGGGUCUCCAGAGUUGGGUAUAAAGAAGAAACCCAGAGAAGGCAAAGGUAACACAACAUACCUGUGGGAGUUCCUUCUAGACCUUCUGCAGGACAAAAAUACUUGUCCUCGGUACAUUAAGUGGACUCAGCGAGAGAAGGGCAUCUUUAAACUUGUGGACUCAAAAGCUGUCUCCAAGCUCUGGGGAAAACACAAGAACAAACCUGAUAUGAACUAUGAGACUAUGGGAAGGGCCCUAAGAUAUUACUAUCAAAGAGGAAUUCUUGCAAAGGUUGAAGGGCAAAGGCUUGUAUAUCAGUUUAAGGAGAUGCCAAAAAACAUAGUGGUCAUAGAUGAUGACAAAAGCGAAUCCUGCAGUGAAGAUUUGACAAUGCCUACUGAUGAGAAGUCUUUGGAACGAGUGUCAUUGUCUGCAGAAAACCUCUUGAAAGCAGCAUCUGCACGUGGAGGAAAAAACUGUUCCCAGUUAAGUUGUACAAGAACAGAAAAAGCAGUUGCCAGAGUUGUAAAUAUUGCCUCACCAGGGCAUGAUACAUCAUCUCGUCCCUCCACCACCACUACCACUGUUCCAGCAACAACAGCUCCCAGGACUGUUCGUGUGGCGAUGCAAGUGCCUGUCGUAAUGACAUCUCUGGGACAGAAAAUUUCAACUGUAGCAGUACAGUCAGUAAAUGCAGGGUCACCGUUAAUAACCAACACAAGUCCAACAACGGCAACAACUCCAAAAGUAGUAAUCCAGACAAUCCCUACUGUGAUGCCAGCAUCUGCUGAAAAUGGAGAGAAAAUCACAAUGCAGCCUGCCAAAAUCAUUACCAUCCCUGCUACACAACUCACGCAGUGCCAGCUGCAGACAAAAACAGGUUUGACUGGGUCAGGAAGUAUUAACAUAGUUGGAACCCCACUGGCAGUGAGAGCACUUACCCCUGUGUCUAUAGCUCAUGGGACACCAGUAAUGAGACUAUCAGUGCCUGCCCAGCAGGCAUCUGGCCAGACUCCUCCCAGAGUUAUUAGCGCAGUCAUAAAAGGGCCGGAAGUUAAAUCAGAUACAGCAGCUUUAAAACAAGAACGUGAAGUAAAAACACUGCAACUUGUGCAAGAAGAGAAGCCAGCAGAUGGAAGCAAGACUGUGACCCAUGUUGUAGUUGUCAGUACGCCUUCAGCCAUUGCCCUUCCUGUAACAGUGAAAACAGAAGGCAUAGUAACGUGUGAGAAAUGAAGGAUGGGCAGCUACCAAUGUGGCUUUUCUAGACUAUUAUUGAUUGAGCAUACUGACAUAAUUGGGGGUAGGAAAUGGAUGCGAUCACAAAGUAAAAAAUGAGAAUUUCAAAAUGUUAACUAAUACAUUGAUGACUUACUGGAAAUGAAUGAACUGUCCCAUAUUCCAGUGGGAAUUGAACCACAUUGAUAUACUGACAGAAACUGCCUCUUACAGUUGGGAAAACCAACUGAAUCAGUGAAGAAAGAAAACGAAAAGGACUGAAAGGGACCAAACAGUUCACUACGUAAUCAAGUUACACUAAGACCUGGAACACUAAAAUGAAUUUGUUAGUCCAGCUGUUUAGUUACCAGCUUGAUAUGCUCCAGUCAUGACCCUUAUGCAACUGUGACACUUGAUUCAGCUGGUUUUGGACCUUCCUUCUCUUGGUGGAAGAACUCGACUCCCCCACAUGUAGCAUCAUGAUGCAGGUCUUGGUGCUGGAACAAGUGUUAACUUCCUUUGACUUAGUCAUUACAGAUAAACAUUACCUGUUACGUUACAUUCGGGUAUUGCAAAAGUAUUCCUUUCCCAUUCUGCAUCCUCCUUGCCCCAGGCACUUUACCUUUCACACACUGGGGGAAUAACUCCCUUAAGAGAGCAAGAACAUAAUUCCUGUACUGCAUUCCUUGUACUUUUUGUCUUUUGCACUGAGCACUUUAAGAGGAGGAUAAUGCGAUGCCAGAUUUUGUAACAGCUUGGGAAAAUGAGGUAACUCAGUAGUUAGGAACAAAACACUGGAUCAAAUCACCAGUCCAUUCUGUACCAUUUCCUGUGUAACAUUCUUGUUAUUACCGUAUACUGCCAAAAAAAAAAAAAAAGAUGCAAAAUCCUGUUGGGACUAAUUACAGAACAGUCUGUCCAAAGGGGAAAUUUCUUCUAGUUCCUGUUAUACAAUGAUUGGCAUAUGCCCUGAAGCGCAAGGAUUUAUACCCGGUGCAGAAUUCUUAGGCUAGUCACAUUAUUCAUAUAAGUACCUAACCAUAUUCUGGGUGCCAAUGGUAUCCAGUGGCAGGGUGUUCUACAAGUCAUUUAGGUAUGGUGCAAAACAUAUUUGGCAACGUUUCUCUUCAAUUAUCCUUUGCUGUGUUUAUAAAAAAAGAUAAAAACAGUUGUUUCUGUUUAUCUUCUCCAUCCCCGCCAUCUUUCUUCCCUCAUUUCUGGAAUGUAUUUCUUAUGACUCCUUACCAUUUUGUGAUUUUAAUGAUUACAGUCUAUUUUGUGUAGGUUUCUGCACUGCACUUGGGACUGGAGAUCUGAGUACCUUGCAGUGCUUUAACCAAAUGCAAGCAGCGGUUUAGAUUCUCCUUAUUUUGCACUCAAAGUUGAUGUGAGAACUACUGCAUACCUAACAAGUGAAACAACUUUAAUAGUUCAUGUCCCUGAUUCCAGAAAUCAGACAGUGAGAUUAAAAGUCUGUCCU